rnacentral:rRNA from 1 species
UACGUAGGGGGCUAGCGUUGCCCGGAUUUACUGGGCGUAAAGAGCGCGCAGGCGGUCGUUCAAGUCGAGUGUGAAAGCCCCGGGCUCAACCUGGGAAUUGCAUUCGAGACUGCGUAGCUAGGAUGCGGAAGAGGGAAGCGGAAUUUCCGGUGUAGCGGUGAAAUGCGUAGAUAUCGGAAGGAACACCAGUGGCGAAAGCGGCUUCCUGGUCCAGCAUCGACGUUCAGGCACGAAAGCGUGGGGAGCAAACAGG